rnacentral:lncRNA from 1 species
GGGGUGGAGUAACAUAGGGCACACUACGACAUACACAACUCACCACCAUCUUUUGUGUUUACUUUGCUUGGACACACACCAGACACACACACACCCUGAGAAACACAGGCGGGAGAAAGUAGAGAACAUUUGGCGUUGCCACGCAUUCGUGUUGCUCUUCAUCUGAGCCAUCUUGGUCCUCUUGUAAACAGCUUCGUCUUGCACUUCGUCUGCUGCAGUUUCCACCAUGCCGCUGAAAAGACGUUCCCAGUUCUGCGAAAGGAAACUCAACUUGACGGCCACCUCCAUUCCGUACUCGGCAAUGUAUUUCAGAUGCGCUGUACGAUUUCGUAAGUGCUUCGUUUCCUAAAAAGGAAUUUUGAAAAAUAUGAAAGUUUUAGAAACCAAGUCACGCACGAGAAAACCAACACAAAAAACAACGUCAGAUUGAUGGAAUGCAUCCACAAGGGCACUGACGGAUCGUUCUAGACCGCAACAUGAUUGCAUCAGCCUCAUUUAAAAAUAGUCCAUUCAUAAACACACCUUGAAAGGUUGAAAAGUGGCACGAAUGGCUCGUUUCCUCAUCAAGAGGUUGUACUCGUUGUCACGUGAUUGUUGCUGUUGUUGGCAGGCAGCCCCGCCGGCGUCCGAAGAUCCAGAAGACGACGACGAUGACGUCUGUCCAGCAUCGUAGAACCGAUCAAAUUGUCUCCGGAUGGCCGUUGAUGGCGCUGUUAACAAGACCAGAGCAUCGAGCGUAUCGUAGUGAUCCUCAGCAUUGGCCACGUCUUCGGGUCCAAUCGGUUCGCCGUCGAUCUGAUCCAACCCGAAUGGAUGCAACCGGUAAAUGGCGUACAACCUCCACGCGGCCCUCAACGGCUCUGGCGUGGGGACGAGCGUCUCGACGCUGACGCUCCACCGAAACCACGACGGGCUUUCCAAUUUGGCCAGGCCGUUGAUCUGACGCAACGUGGGCGGGAUGGCCAUCUUGCGGAAGGCGAAAUUGCGCAAAUUGGGGAAGAGCUUGCGAAGCGACGCGUAAUGAGGGCACAGCUGAUCGAAACUGAGCCCGUAAAAGACGAUCCAUGUGAAACAGUUCCACUUCAUCCGGCGACCAUUGCAUGUUCUGAAGCAUGCGGACAAUGUUGAUGCCGGUGAUGUGUACUUCUUCUUCGCCGACUAUGAUGCGCAAAUCACGCAACUGCUCUUUGAUGUUCAUUCCUAUGGUGGCACUAAGUUUCUGAUUGGCCAACGACGUCGGGCCGAAUUUGUUGGCGCUCGACGAGAGGCUGCGAGUCAAAUUCAUCGCCGUGCUGCCGGACGUAGGUGCGGUCGAGACGCGACAAGCCAACCUGGCGGCCGGCUUCCUCGACUGGUUGGACGCGGUCGAUGCGGUAUCCGAAUCGUCCGAAUCGGAGUUCCACGAGCUGGAAGAAUCGUCAAACUCGAUGGCGACACGCGAUCGAUCGCGUCGUCUGCUACAAUUGCCGCUGCUGUUGAUUCGCUUUCCGGUGGUCCGCUGUUCGAUUGUCUCGUUCCAUUCAGCCGUGGGUGGGCGCAGACUGAAACGGAAGACGGGCUGACUUGACUUGUCUUGACUGUCAUCGGCCGGACGAGGCGCUGCGGCGUUGCACACCAUGGCCGAGAAAGCAAUUUGCCGGAAGGACUUGCGCCGCGGAUGGUCACCGCUCCUGACCAAACACGAUUUAAUGGCGGAUGCCGUCGGCCCCUGAGUCGAACAACGGGGCGGGGGAUCGUUCACAAUCGGCGGGCUCCCAACCUGCGCCGUCAAACCUUCCGGAUGUGGCGGAGGCUCGUGCUGCUCCUGUUCCGGCUGAUUAGUCGUACUCAUGGGCCGGACGACGGCCACAUUUCGCUGGUGGAACUUGCUGGACAUGCCGGAGCUCUUGAUCGCACCGAUUGCAACGCCGGAAGAAGCAGAAGCCUUGUGUUGGACAGUCACAAUCGGGUUGACUUUGUCCAUUUGGCUGCUGGCUGUGCUGGCCGGCAAGCGCUGAGACGACCAGUUCUCCGCCUCGCCUCUCAAUCCGCAAGAGAUGACAUUUUGGUCGAGCAAAACGAGCGAAGGCAUCGAACUGACCGCGUACAGGACGUAGUUGGCGUUGAAAGUCAGCGGAUUGCCGUCCAGCGAUAGCUCCUUCAAUCCGUUGAGCAAACCCAACGGGCUCAGGUCGUCCAGCCUGCAAUGCACCAACACCGUCAUCAUUUGCCGAUAGCCGAGGACUAACGGAUGAACAACGUGAAAAACUAAAUUCGGCAGAAUGAAUUGCAGUUGAUGUAAAAUAAUCGAGGGUCAAAUCCAUUUGCCUAAUGAAUUAUGGCUAAAGUGGCAUUUUUUAUACUUUUUUAAUGAAUACCUUCCGUUUGAAAAGCUGGACAUUUAGCCCGACUACUUUUUGUUCUAGUGCGCACAAUGGAACAAUCCCGCCGCGACACGAGUAAUACCUUUCGUUUAAUGCUCUUUAGCAUGAUUUCUGAAUAUAACACUACAAUGUAGUACACGACAUAUCAAUUUG